UCCAUUUGAAAAUGCUACAAGACGUUGUUGCCUCUUGCACCCAGUGGCGUGAAAAUCUUGGAAGAUGAUAACUGCUUCCAGUAAGGCCCUGUGUUUACUCAGGUUUCUUCAUUUCCCAUAUGUGUGUGUUUGCACGCCAAGCCGGGAGCAUGUACUCCCAUGAUUAGUAACUUCUUACAAAAUAGACUUCCUCAAUUUACUGCAAAUUCUGAAGGAAUAGGAAUGAAGCAAAUAAAUGUGGUCCAUCUUUCUUCAGGACCAGAUGCUCCUGCAGUGUGUAUCUGGCAAUUCUUUCAUCCACCUAUUAGACCAGCUGGAAUGGGGAAAGAGGAAUGCUUUGAAUAAGAAUACAACAGUUGCAGGAAGAUUUUUCAUCAGCCAGGGCUGUUGAUAAAACAGUCAGCUUGAGGUUAGGAGUGACGCAUAUUGGAGUCUCUGCCUAAGACAUCAAAGUUAUUCAUCAGAGGACCUGAAAGUAAAUCGUAGUCUCCCAAUUGUUGUUUUUUUCUUUUUUUUAAGCUGGUGCCAUUCAGGCAAUAGCACGCAUCUAGGCUAACGCUAACCUAGAAUUUGUCAGCCCAUAAUUCUAAUAAUCUUUCAAAGUAUUUCCAUCUAAUCUCAGAGAGAUCAACAUUGUCAAUUUGAAUAGUUAAUUCCUCUAGUUACAGAAAUUGCUUGGCAAAUGCUCAUAUUAAUUUACCAAUUAAAGGAGUCACCUGGAUCAUGGCCAGCAGUGUCUCACAUGGCACAUGGUGGCUCUCCUACACACCCAAUCCAGACCUAUUCUAGGCAAAAUAUAUAAUUUUGUAUAGAAAAUAAGACUUAUACUGGGGUUUAAUAUGAGAAAAAUGAGAAGAAUAAAGACGAUUUCUUACUGUGGUGGUUGCAAACCUGGAUCCUGGAAUCAGGACAUGAACUUGAAUUGCGAUGAUAAAACUUUCUUACUUGUAUUGUUUGGGUUCCUCGCCUGCAAUAUGGAAUGGUUGCAGUGAGGUACACUGAGAUCAGGUAAAGGACAUGUGGACAGAGCCUGCACACAGCGAGAGCUCAGAGCUUAGAGCCGUUGCUCCGCUUUUCUGAUCCCGCCUACCCAGGCCUACUCAAUCUUCACCAGCCCUAAAGGAAAAGAGAACAGAAGCAAAAAAAUAAAUAAAUAAAUACAGGCAAAGGCUACCUGGUGGGAGAGAGAAUGGGAAGAACUGUGGAGAACUUUCUAGAACUGUUGCUGUACCCUCAGAAGUAAUGAAAUGAAGUUAAAGUCUUCCUUUCACUUGUUCUUUUGCAACCAGGCUGACCCAGCCUGAACAUCAGACUUUAUGUUUGCACUUCUCUCUUUGUGACUGUUCUCAUAAGAAAAGGACUGCUGUGCUGCUGUGUUUUCCAAAAAUUACAGGGAAAAUACCACUGGGGAAAAAACCAAACCCCUCCAAAUAGCUGUUUCCUUUAUUCAGCUACAACUGUCCUAUAGUGCUAUCUGCCCUCACAGCUAAGCUGAGCAGAGCUCUUGGGAGCUCCACAGAUCCCUGGGAUGCAGCUUUCUGAGGUUAGAUAGAACAAGGUACCUGGGGGUUUCCAGGCUACUCUAGAAAUGUUGUUUCUCGGGGGGUCCAAAGUUUUCCACCAUUUUUUCUACAUGGGUGGAAUAAUGAAAAUGAGCAUGAAGAGGAGGCCGAGGAGGAGCAAAAAGAUAUGUCCUAGUGUUAUUUUUAUCAUCUGCAAAGGGAACAAUUUCUUUAGAUAUCGACUCCACUUUGACAAAGCUGCUGCAUCCAGAUAUCCUAUACUGUGAACAACUUUUGGUCAUCUAGCCACAUUUCUGGCAAAUAUACAAAAGGUAACAGAUAUUCAUAGUUUGGAAUACCCAAAAGUAUUUCUAUCCUUUAGAAAGGUUUGGAGUGUAGGAAAAACAGAGCAAGUUACUGUUUGGCUCGUUCAAGCCUGGCUUAAUUACAAGCAUUUCAAAUUCAGAGCAUCUGGAAGCUUCUUCGAUGUACUUCCAAGUACACAGCUUAGAGAAGCGUGCGCUUUGAUAGUCCCAACGAGGGUGGCUGUAUACAAGGCCACUGAGCCCUUGACAACAUGUUUUCUGUCUCCAGGUCCCUCACAGCAAGGUGUUUGUGAGGCUGGUUGCUCAGGCACCAGGCGAUGCUCUCCACUCUCCUCUCAUCCUCCUGCUGCUAAUAAACCCCCUGGGAGCCGAUUAUAAUGCAGUUACUCCUCCAGCAGAGGUUCAGCCUGCAUUUUAUAGAAGGCACCCCAUAUUGCUCACUAGAGACCCUGGAAUCAGAGUUCUGUUCAGUGUCUGUCUGUAUUCCCUGGAACUUUCACAUUACUGAAUCUGCGAAGAACACAAAACUUGCCUUUUUUGAGUAUAUGUGGGUAAGGCUCGAUGGCGAGUGUGAGGCACAUUGACCUGUUUACCAAAACAUCUUUGAAAUGAGAGUAAUUUCAGUUACUGAAGUGAUGACAUUUUGUUUUAGCCCUCUCCUCUGAGUGAAUUAUGUGAAAAUGUCUAAACAAGCAAAAAUGCUCUUUCUGUACAUUGCAAAAUGGAGGCCUUUAAAGCAACCUACUAAUAUUGUUUAUUUAAGGGAAAACAUUUAAGAAAGUGUAGCCAUGCAAUUAAGCAAGAUUUUUCAAAACUGCUCUCUAAGGACGCUCAGUCCAGCUUUGCUUACAGAACUGGAACAGAAUAGUGAUUAGGAAGUUAAAAUGCGGUUGUAUUUUCAGUGUGGGCAUCCUAGCUCAAUGGCCCCCAGCAAGAUGACACAGAUACUCCAUUCACAUUUUUAUGCUAAAUCUGCCCUGGACCCCUUUGUCUGCCAAGGCUGAAAAGCAGGUGUGAGAAAAGAUAAGGAAACAGUCACAAAUCUUCAGACGUUUUCUGAAUCUCCUUUAUGGAACGAACCUGUAUUAGUGUUACUUUCUUCAAGAAGCAUUCUUUCAGAAAGGAGUUUUCUGAAGGAAACGAGCUCUGAUUAGGAUAGUCCAUUUUUCUCUUUCCAAAGCUUUGAUCUAUCACAGACCAAGAAUCCGAUGAAAUGGAUCACAAUGUUUUGAGAAGAGACUGAAAUAUUCCCAUUGUGUGACCAGCACCUUCUUAGUACAGCCUCGUGGAGCAGAAGAAGUAAAAAAAAAAAAAAAGGAGACCUGAUUGUUGUUUGUGUAUUUUUCACCUGCAGAUAGCCUUGAAGCCUCUCCGAAGAGAGAGCUAUUCUGAUCCUGUCAACUUUCUAGCUAUCUGUUAUUAAAGGAAUAUGUGUAUAGACCUCCUAUCUGUAAAGUAAUAGCAUUAUCCAAAAUAAAUUAUCUUUGCAAGUAACUACAACUUUCCUUCCAAAUAACAAAGUGAUGCUUAACUUUGAGACAGGACUUGCUGCAAUAGAUGACACACUGUGAAGAACAGACAAUAAAAAACAGAAUUUAGCCCUUUUUAAAUGAUUUGGGAUCAUCUUCUCAGCUCAGGCAAAAGCCAUUUAGAGUUAUAGGCAAUGUCUCUGGGUUGACAGCAAGAAUAAGGUGAUGCCAGUUUAUAGGAGUUGGGGGCACAAAACCCUCUGGAUUCUGUAUUGAGUAUGAGUGGCCCCUGUUCCCAAGUAUGUGACUUGGGAGAUGAAGGGCACCUAGAUUUGCUGACUAGGAGGCUUCCCUGUGCAAUUAUUGUAAAAUUAGACACAAAUAAAUACUGGGGUCAUGUUCAUUCCAUUUAUGAUUGUGGUGUCUUGAAUGGAGGCCACCAGACCUGAGCCACCUUCCCUUGAGAAAAGCACUCAAGUUGCAAAAUACAGAUCCCACUUAUUCCUGGAGACAUCUAUCGGCCACCAAAUCUAUCUGUACUCAUGAUCACAGCAAUGAGAAGGAGCCCCUGGUUGUGGGAAGUACUCCCACUUCUUUCUUCUGAAGAAGAAAGAAUAAGACACUUUUACUGAGCAGGGCCUUUGCAUUUCUCUAAACAGCGUUGCUCAUCUUUUUGCUUUUAUUCACUAAUAAACACAUGAGAAUAUGAACAUUUGGUGAGCAGGAAGCAAAUAAUAAACACACACACAUAUAUGUAUAUGUGUAUACAUAUAUCUAUUCACAUAUAUAUUCAUAUACACAUAUGUGUGUGUAUCUCCACAUAUAACAUAUCUCCAUAUAUUAUAUAAAUGACAAAAAGAGGAAACACUAUUUGUUGAAAUCACCCAUUUUCACACAGUCAUUGAGCUUCUUCCUUAAGAGUUGAUAUUUUUAAAAUAAAGUUCCAAUUUUUAGUUUUGUAACCUUAAAAAGUGAACUUAUAAAAUAAAUAGAUUUUCAACGUAUUCACAUAUUUUUGAAAUCCAAAUAAUCUAUUAAUAAUCAUAGGAAUUUUAAAAAGCAUCCAUAAUUAUAUUUUCCCCUUUUAUGUGUAGAAUCUGUGCUGUCUUAGUCUGUCUGGGGAGCCAUAAUAAAAUACUAUACACCCAGAAAUUAAACACCAGACAUUUAUUUUCUUUCAGUUCUAGAGAUUGAAAAUCUGACAUAUGAGGGUGCUUGCAUGGCUGAGUUCUGGGAAAAGCCUUCUUCCUGCUUGCAGGUGGCCACCUUCUCACAUGUCUUCAUGUGGUAGAGAGGGAGAAAGCAAGCUCUUUGGUGUCUCUUUUUAGAAGGGCACUAAUCCCAUCAUGAGGGCCCCAUCCUCAUGACAUCAUAUAACUCCAGUCACCUCCCAAUGGCCCUAUCUUCAAAUACCAACACAAAUAAAUUAGACACAAAUAAAUACUGGGGUCAUGUUCAUUCCAUUUAUGAUUGUGGUAUCAAUAUAUAAAUUUAGGUGGGGGCAAAGGGAGACAAAAUAUUCAGUUCAUAAUACAUGCCUAUCACAUUUGCGAAUUACACAAAGCCCCAAGGGAGACUAUGCACUGUAAUUUUGUGUCUAGUCUGAGCUCUGUAUAUCGUGUGAGACAAUGAAAAGCAGAACUGUAUUUAGAGGAAAGAGAUAAAUUGGGCAAUGUUCUAGAAACCAUAUCAUAAAAGUAAUUGAAAAAACCACAGUUCUUUAUCCUCAAGAAAGAACUAAGAGGGAGCACAACCCACAAAUACUGUUUGUAGAUAGUUGGAGAGUUGCCUGUAGAAGAAGGAUUUGACUUCUCUCUGGUGCUAGCAUGUGAAAUAAGUGAAAGGUAGAAGGAGGUAGAUUUUGGAUAAAUAUAAGGUGGAACUUCCCUGUAAACAAAGCUCCUCAAAAUUGUAAAUUAGUAAGCUCUUUAGCACUGAGCUCAUUCAGGCAGGCAAUCCUCUUUCAGAGACGUCCUGAUGGAAAUAUUUAAAUUAGAACUUGAAACUAGAUUUCUCCACAAUGCAUUCUGACUCUAAGAUGUUAUGUUUUAAGAGCCCACUCUUUAAUAAUAAUGUCUUUAAAAAAUUUGUAUAGGUAUAUAAGAGAAAAUAUAAAGACCAAAGUAAUCUAUAAUAUUAUUUGUGUGUUGAAUGAAGGGUAAGAAGGGAGAUAGAAAAUGUGUUCUUCUUCCUUAGAGAUACAGUUAAGAUGAAGCAUUCAAAGGAAAUGGAAGUGUUCUGAUCAAAUGGGUAAAAAGAAUUAUAAACAUAGGAAUGGGCUGAUAACUAGAAAAAUCUCACCUCAGGGAAAUCAUGAGACAAGAGUUUUGUUGUUGCUGUUGCUUUGUUUUGUUUGUUUUGUUUAGGGGCCUACAUUUUGUUUAUUGCAUGACCUGUAUUUGUUCUGUGGAAAAGACAGACUGAUGGAUGUUUAUCAUCCAAUGAAUAGUUGGUCAGCUUGUUGUAAGAAAACUUCACCUUAGUCAAUCGAAAAUAAAAUUGAUCUGUUAGUUAUCUGCCAUCACUGAGGAAAUGCAACCCUUAAGUAAUCUCACUUUUAUGUAAUCAGUUUCUAUACUAUAGUCCACUGUCUCUUUUUUUAUGUUGAGAAUACAUAAAAAUUCAUUUUCCCCUAACAAAGAUAUGCUUUUCAGAUUAAUUUGCCUUCUCUUCUGAAAAUUAAAUUCUACGUAAUUAAACCAACUGAAAAUACAAACAGCCUAAAAGAUUAUCAAUUACAAGGAACUUGGUAAAACACUUGUGGGUCCAAUGGUUGACUAAACUUGCUAGAAAAUGAGAUAAUAAGAGCAGGACAGUACCUGUUUUAUCUGUCACUAUAUUGUUUGACCUUCAUGGUACCUGCUAUCAGGAGAUCCUCAAUAAAAAUUUAUCUUAUCAAACGAAGGAAAAAUUAUUUUCAGGGAGCUAUUAACUCAGUUGAUGAAAUAUAUGAAAACCUAUCAUUCAAAUUCAACCUAGAGAAUUGAUUUAAUUAUGGUGGUUUAUGUUGGUUUUUCAGGAGUUAACUGCCCACUUGGUGGGUUUCUGGUUUCUCUUUAUUUUCUUGGUUCUGUUUGCUGUUUUGUUACUGCAUGGGCAAGAAGUGUUUAAGAAGAUACGAAACUCAAAUUCAAUUUGAACAUGAUUAUGCCUCAAAUUUAAUUACAGAUUCUAUUAAUAGAAAGUUUGCUUUUACGAAACCCUUAUGAGUCUAAAAGAAAGACUAUCUAAAAGAAGUAUGUGGUUAAUAUGGAUUAUAUGGGGAAUGCAUUGUUGCAAACUAUGGUCACAGUAUGAAAAAAAAAUUGAAACAAAAAAAUGUGUCUUUGGAUAUCCUGAGGUGAGAAAUCAAAUGCACAAUUUUAUUGCAGAAGGUAGAAGAUUCGGUCCGAAAACAUACUGAGCUGGGAGUUAGGAACCCUGAAUUUUCAUCAGAGUCAUUGUUGUCAUUUAGCAUCUUGGACUCCAAUUAAUUCAUUGAUAAAAUGAAGCCUAGGAUUUAGUCACAGAAGCCAUGGAUAAAAAACUUGCUUUGUAAGUGUGAUGUCGGACAAGGCAGAAAGAAUGACAAGGGCCAUCAGAGAGCUGUAGAGAGGAAAAAGCAGCUGUGAGCUUUCAAGCUUUAUGACUGUGCCUUGAGUUACCUUCAACAUGCAUGUUCUUUGAGGAGACAUACAUGAAGAUAGAUUAUUUUCCUAUAGCUACAAAAUCAAACUGUUCUCUUUCACAUGAUUCUUAAAGAUUUUUGGUUUGUUUUGGUUUUGGUUGUUGCUUACUCCACAAAAGAGCUUCUUUGAUGAAGUAUAUGUCAAUAAGAUGUUAUUCAAUCCA